rnacentral:rRNA from 1 species
AUACGGAGGAUCCGAGCGUUAUCCGGAUUUAUUGGGUUUAAAGGGUGCGUAGGUGGUUUGAUAAGUCAGCGGUGAAAGUUUGCAGCUUAACUGUAAAAAUGCCGUUGAAACUGUCGGACUUGAGUGUAAAUGAGGUAGGCGGAAUGCGGGGUGUAGCGGUGAAAUGCAUAGAUAUCACGCAGAACUCCGAUUGCGAAGGCAGCUUACUAAGCUACAACUGACACUGAAGCACGAAAGCGUGGGGAUCAAACAGGAUUAGAUACCCUGGUAGUCCACGCAGUAAACGAUGAUUACUAGCUGUUUGCGAUACACAGUAAGCGGCACAGCGAAAGCGUUAAGUAAUCCACCUGGGGAGUACGCCGGCAACGGUGAAACUCAAAUGAAUUGGCGGGG